rnacentral:rRNA from 1 species
GCGAUAAGCGCCGGUAAGGUGAUAUGAACCGUUAUAACCGGCGAUACCCGAAUGGGGAAACCCAGUGUGAUUCGUCACACUAUCAUUAACUGAAUCCAUAGGUUAAUGAGGCGAACCGGGGGAACUGAAACAUCUAAGUACCCCGAGGAAAAGAAAUCAACCGAGAUUCCCCCAGUAGCGGCGAGCGAACGGGGAGGAGCCCAGAGCCUGAAUCAGCAUGUGUGUUAGUGGAAGCGUCUGGAAAGGCGCGCGAUACAGGGUGACAGCCCCGUACACAAAAGCGCAUGUGCUGUGAGCUCGAUGAGUAGGGCGGGACACGUGGUAUCCUGUCUGAAUAUGGGGGGACCAUCCUCCAAGGCUAAAUACUCCUGACUGACCGAUAGUGAACCAGUACCGUGAGGGAAAGGCGAAAAGAACCCCGGCGAGGGGAGUGAAAAAGAACCUGAAACCGUGUACGUACAAGCAGUGGGAGCACCCUUUGGGUGUGACUGCGUACCUUUUGUAUAAUGGGUCAGCGACUUAUAUUCUGUAGCAAGGUUAACCGAAUAGGGGAGCCGGAGGGAAACCGAGUCUUAACCGGGCGUUAAGUUGCAGGGUAUAGACCCGAAACCCGGUGAUCUAGCCAUGGGCAGGUUGAAGGUUGGGUAACACUAACUGGAGGACCGAACCGACUAAUGUUGAAAAAUUAGCGGAUGACCUGUGGCUGGGGGUGAAAGGCCAAUCAAACCGGGAGAUAGCUGGUUCUCCCCGAAAGCUAUUUAGGUAGCGCCUCGUGAAUUCAUCUCCGGGGGUAGAGCACUGUUUCGGCUAGGGGGCCAUCCCGGCUUACCAACCCGAUGCAAACUGCGAAUACCGGAGAAUGUUAUCACGGGAGACACACGGCGGGUGCUAACGUCCGUCGUGAAGAGGGAAACAACCCAGACCGCCAGCUAAGGUCCCAAAGUCAUGGUUAAGUGGGAAACGAUGUGGGAAGGCCCAGACAGCCAGGAUGUUGGCUUAGAAGCAGCCAUCAUUUAAAGAAAGCGUAAUAGCUCACUGGUCGAGUCGGCCUGCGCGGAAGAUGUAACGGGGCUAAACCAUGCACCGAAGCUGCGGCAGCGACACUGUGUGUUGUUGGGUAGGGGAGCGUUCUGUAAGCCUGUGAAGGUGUGUCGUGAGGCAUGCUGGAGGUAUCAGAAGUGCGAAUGCUGACAUAAGUAACGAUAAAGCGGGUGAAAAGCCCGCUCGCCGGAAGACCAAGGGUUCCUGUCCAACGUUAAUCGGGGCAGGGUGAGUCGACCCCUAAGGCGAGGCCGAAAGGCGUAGUCGAUGGGAAACGGGUUAAUAUUCCCGUACUUGGUGUUACUGCGAAGGGGGGACGGAGAAGGCUAUGUUGGCCGGGCGACGGUUGUCCCGGUUUAAGCGUGUAGGUGUGUGUUCCAGGUAAAUCCGGUUCACUUUAACACUGAGGCGUGACGACGAGGCACUACGGUGCUGAAGCAACAAAUGCCCUGCUUCCAGGAAAAGCCUCUAAGCAUCAGGUAACAUCAAAUCGUACCCCAAACCGACACAGGUGGUCAGGUAGAGAAUACCAAGGCGCUUGAGAGAACUCGGGUGAAGGAACUAGGCAAAAUGGUGCCGUAACUUCGGGAGAAGGCACGCUGACACGUAGGUGAAGUGAUUUACUCAUGGAGCUGAAGUCAGUCGAAGAUACCAGCUGGCUGCAACUGUUUAUUAAAAACACAGCACUGUGCAAACACGAAAGUGGACGUAUACGGUGUGACGCCUGCCCGGUGCCGGAAGGUUAAUUGAUGGGGUCAGCGCAAGCGAAGCUCCUGAUCGAAGCCCCGGUAAACGGCGGCCGUAACUAUAACGGUCCUAAGGUAGCGAAAUUCCUUGUCGGGUAAGUUCCGACCUGCACGAAUGGCGUAAUGAUGGCCAGGCUGUCUCCACCCGAGACUCAGUGAAAUUGAACUCGCUGUGAAGAUGCAGUGUACCCGCGGCAAGACGGAAAGACCCCGUGAACCUUUACUAUAGCUUGACACUGAACAUUGAGCCUUGAUGUGUAGGAUAGGUGGGAGGCUUUGAAGUGUGGACGCCAGUCUGCAUGGAGCCGACCUUGAAAUACCACCCUUUAAUGUUUGAUGUUCUAACGUGGACCCGUUACCCGGGUUGCGGACAGUGUCUGGUGGGUAGUUUGACUGGGGCGGUCUCCUCCUAAAGAGUAACGGAGGAGCACGAAGGUUGGCUAAUCCUGGUCGGACAUCAGGAGGUUAGUGCAAUGGCAUAAGCCAGCUUGACUGCGAGCGUGACGGCGCGAGCAGGUGCGAAAGCAGGUCAUAGUGAUCCGGUGGUUCUGAAUGGAAGGGCCAUCGCUCAACGGAUAAAAGGUACUCCGGGGAUAACAGGCUGAUACCGCCCAAGAGUUCAUAUCGACGGCGGUGUUUGGCACCUCGAUGUCGGCUCAUCACAUCCUGGGGCUGAAGUAGGUCCCAAGGGUAUGGCUGUUCGCCAUUUAAAGUGGUACGCGAGCUGGGUUUAGAACGUCGUGAGACAGUUCGGUCCCUAUCUGCCGUGGGCGCUGGAGAACUGAGGGGGGCUGCUCCUAGUACGAGAGGACCGGAGUGGACGCAUCACUGGUGUUCGGGUUGUCAUGCCAAUGGCACUGCCCGGUAGCUAAAUGCGGAAGAGAUAAGUGCUGAAAGCAUCUAAGCACGAAACUUGCCCCGAGAUGAGUUCUCCCUGAGACUUAAAGUCUCCUG